CUACAGGGCAGUGCAUACGGCGGUUGCUAUGAUAAAUUUUUCUAAGUCUUUGACGUUUCGUGGCCUUGUUGUUUACGAUUCGGACUUAGGAAAAUUUUCGUCAGGUUUCCUUAGGCAGUAUGAUCAAAUUCAAAAUUAAUUCCCUAGGCCUUCCUUCCGGAAUUAUCAGCGAUUCACAACUAACUGAGGCGUCCCAUCCACAAUCAUCCCUGGCACCAUUCCGGUACCGCCGCCCGUCAGGACAGAGGAUCGACGAUACACGCUGACAAGAAGGAGUUUUAAAUCAACUUGGAUGUGCACUUGUGCAGCAGACGGCUCAACGGAAGUUUCGGCAAAGGCCUCCGACAACAGCAUCAUCAUCGAAGGGAAACACGACGAGGAGCAGGACUAUCAUGGAUACAUCUCCGGAUACUUCAUUUGGCGUUACACCAUUCCACCGGGACACGAUUCCAACUACAUCAAAUGGUCGAUUUCGUCCGACAGCAUCUUGACGAUUCCAGUUUCGAAGAGGGCGACGACGGAUAACGCCACAAGUCGAUUCCGAUCUUUCAGGAAUUUCAACCACUGAAAAGAAUCGGUACCGAUUACGAGAAGAAGGAGAGCAUUGCUAACAAACCUUAGUGGAGUGGUGGUCUGAAACCACGACUGUUUCAACAAUCUGUAUGGUCCCUUGGUUCACCCAGUAUUUGUUAAUUAUUAGCUGAAUAAAUUAUAUCUGUUAGUAUUUGAAUUCCUUUCGGAAUUCUAUCAGCA